rnacentral:lncRNA from 1 species
UCACUAAGUUCAGGUAAAAAAUUGAAGGAAAAAAUGCUGAUGGAAUUGAAUGGCGAACAGCAUUAAGCAAUGAAGUUCAUGCCCAAGGGUGAAAAACUGAUGGGUGCAAAAGAGUAUCGGAAAACAAUGAAACUGCUUCAUCAAAUCUGAUAAGUCAUUUCACUGCUAUAAAAUGAAUAAAGAUAGCACUGGAUUGCCAACUUAACAUAAACUAUAUACCUUAAAACUCAUAUACUACAUGAUAAUUGGAAAAUAUACCUUGUCUACUAGAUUUUUGCUUAUUUUCAGAGGGAGUGGGCAGGAUGUACCACCGGUAUGCUUCCAGGUUAAGAUGACAUAAACUUACAAAUACCAAGCUAUGCAAAUAAGGCUAAUAACAAAGAGUCGGAUGAAAAAGAAGAAUCAACAGCCUGUAAUAGUGUGAGAAAGGCAAAUGCUGGUUGAGCAAAUGCUGCAAAAUAUAACAAUAAACACCAUAAAACUAAAAUUAUGCCCUCCAUAACUGACCAAUCAAGGCAAUUAUAACAUUUAUAAAGUUUUAAUCCAGUAAUAAAUACUUCCAAACAUCAUCAACUCCUCUCUCUUCCAUGGCGGCUCCAUCACUAGUUUCAUUAAAAGCUCCAAGAUGACUACUUUGGAUGUUCUACAGACUAUGUAGUGCCUAAGGACUAUCUUUAACAACUAGCAAAGCAAUUAAAAUAACUCCAAACCAGGAUAACCCAAUGAAUUAGUGCAAAUUCUCCAAAACCAGAUCGAGAUUCACUAGGUGCUUGCAGAAUGAGGAAAAGGAUAAGCACUGGUAUAAAAAUGCUUAACUUUAGUUCAAUCCAACUAAAUGGUGUCAACUCUAAUAACUUCCAUCCACUUCAUACAUCUUAUUCAACAUUUAUUUUUUAUCUAGAGCAUUAAAGAAUCUAAAGUACAGUAAGACUCCGCUGACAGUUUAAUUACAACUAACUCCCAGCAAAGAGCCAAGAAAAAAGAAGAAAACUAAAAGGAGAACAAUACCAUAUCAACUGCCAACAUAGCAACAGAGGUCAAAACCCCGAGAGACAUUUGCAGUGAUUUAUGAAAUACAACAGGAAACUCCUAGAAAAUGAUGAGAGAGAUUAAAGCAUGAAAUCAACAAUAAGGAUGGUGCUUAGGAAAUAGAAGACUACCAACAGAAAGGAUUUAGGUUCAAUCUAGCAAAGCAUUUUGAGUAAUGCAACCACAAGUAAUAACCAGCGCCAGUAACUAUGAUAGCAAAAAACCACCAAGAAGAAUAACAUCGGAGAGAGCGCACCAGCGAGCAAAAUAGUUAGGGCUAGUGAUAACAGAGCUCAAACACAAAAAACAACAACUGUCAAUCUUCUGAAAUAAAAUGAUAAAUCUCUUUUGCUAUCUAACAAAUGUCAAAAUACUUCUGCAGACAAGAAUGAAAGCAGAAAUAAUCCCAAUACAUCCCAGUCCCAAAACAACUAUAAAAUCCAAUUCAUAGGAUACAUCAGAAACUAUAUAUUUACAAAAUCAUAAACUCUACAAAGAAAAUUAUCUUCCAUAAUCACAACUACCCAAAAUAAAAGAAUAAAAUUUGAUCAAGCAAUCACAUAAAUGACACACCUUUAAGAAAUAACAUAUAAUCAAUUUUACUAACCCACUCAUUACCCAUAAAAGAAAAAAAAAGAGAUGUACUUUUAGUCACUAAGUUCAGGUAAAAAAUUGAAGGAAAAAAUUCUGAUGGAAUUGAAUGGCGAACAGAAUUAAGGAAUGAAGUUCAUGCCCAAGGGUGAAAAACUGAUAGGUGAGAAAGAGUAUCGGAAAACAAUGAAACUGCUUCAUCAAAUCUGAUAAGUCAUUUCACUGCUAUAAAACGAAUAACGAUAGCACUGGAUUGCCAACUUAACAUAAACUAUAUACCUUAAAACUCAUGUACUACAUGAUAAUUGGAAAAUAUACCUUGUCUACUAGAUUUUUGCUUAUUUUCAGAGGGAGUGGGCAGGAUGUACCACUAGUAUGCUUCCAGGUUAAGAUGACAUAAACUUACAAAUACCAAGCUAUGCAAAUAAGGCUAAUAACAAAGAGUCAGAUGAAAAAGAAGAAUCAACAGCCUGUAAUAGUGUGAGAAAGGCAAAUGCUGGUGGAGCAAAUGCAGCAAAACAUAACAAUAAACACCAUAAAACUAAAAUUAUGCCUGCCAUAACUGACCAAUCAAGGCAAUUAUAACACCUAUAAAGGUUUAAUCCAGUAAUAAAUACUUCCAAACAUCAUCAACUCCUCUCUCUUCCAUGGCGGCUCUAUCACUAGUUUCAUUAAAAGCUUCAAGAUGACUACUUUGGAUGUUCUACAGACUAUGCAAAUCCCUAAGGAGUAUCUUUAACAACUAGCAAAGCAAUAAAAAUAACUCAGAACCAGGAUAACCCAAUGAAUUAGUGCAAAUUCUCCAAAACCAGAUCGAGAUUCACUAG